CGUGAACAGAAAAAAUAGAAAAAGCAAACCAAAAAAAAUAAUGGAAGCUUGCGCAUAUAUGCGAAGUGCAACCCUCUGUUUUCUCCAAUUCUCCCCACUUGUUUUUUUUUCUUUUUUUUUCCUUCUCUUUUCCUCU
rnacentral:ribozyme from 1 species